CGGGAGCUUUCCCCGGGC
rnacentral:snRNA from 1 species